GAGUUUGAUCGUGGCUCAGGAUGAACGCUGGCGGCGUGCCUAAUACAUGCAAGUCGAGCGAACGGACGAGAAGCUUGCUUCUCUGAUGUUAGCGGCGGACGGGUGAGUAACACGUGGAUAACCUACCUAUAAGACUGGGAUAACUUCGGGAAACCGGAGCUAAUACCGGAUAAUAUUUUGAACCGCAUGGUUCAAAAGUGAAAGACGGUCUUGCUGUCACUUAUAGAUGGAUCCGCGCUGCAUUAGCUAGUUGGUAAGGUAACGGCUUACCAAGGCAACGAUGCAUAGCCGACCUGAGAGGGUGAUCGGCCACACUGGAACUGAGACACGGUCCAGACUCCUACGGGAGGCAGCAGUAGGGAAUCUUCCGCAAUGGGCGAAAGCCUGACGGAGCAACGCCGCGUGAGUGAUGAAGGUCUUCGGAUCGUAAAACUCUGUUAUUAGGGAAGAACAUAUGUGUAAGUAACUGUGCACAUCUUGACGGUACCUAAUCAGAAAGCC
rnacentral:rRNA from 1 species